rnacentral:rRNA from 1 species
GUUGUAUGGUUAAGUGACUAAGCGUACACGGUGGAUGCCUGGGCAGUCAGAGGCGAUGAAGGACGUACUAACUUGCGAUAAGCGCAGAUAAGGCAGUAAGAGCCGUUUGAGUCUGCGAUUUCCGAAUGGGGAAACCCAACUGCAUAAGCAGUUACUGUUAACUGAAUACAUAGGUUAACAGAGCAAACCGGGGGAACUGAAACAUCUAAGUACCCGAGGAGAAGAAAUCAACCGAGAUUCCGGUAGUAGCGGCGAGCGAACCUGGAUUAGCCCUUAAGCACUCGGUGAAGUAGGUGAACAAGCUGGAAAGCUUGGCGAUACAGGGUGAUAGCCCCGUAACCGACGCUUCAUCGAGCGUGAAAUCGAGUAGGGCGGGACACGUGAUAUCCUGUCUGAAUAUGGGGGACCAUCCUCCAAGGCUAAAUACUCCUGACUGACCGAUAGUGAACCAGUACCGUGAGGGAAAGGCGAAAAGAACCCCUGUGAGGGGAGUGAAAUAGAACCUGAAACCGUGUACGUACAAGCAGUAGGAGCACCUUCGUGGUGUGACUGCGUACCUUUUGUAUAAUGGGUCAGCGACUUAUAUUCAGUGGCAAGGUUAACCGUAUAGGGGAGCCGUAGCGAAAGCGAGUCUUAACUGGGCGCUCAGUCUCUGGAUAUAGACCCGAAACCGGGUGAUCUAGCCAUGGGCAGGUUGAAGGUUGAGUAACAUCAACUGGAGGACCGAACCGACUAAUGUUGAAAAAUUAGCGGAUGACUUGUGGCUAGGGGUGAAAGGCCAAUCAAACUCGGAGAUAGCUGGUUCUCCCCGAAAGCUAUUUAGGUAGCGCCUCGGACGAAUACUACUGGGGUAGAGCACUGUUAAGGCUAGGGGGUCAUCCCGACUUACCAACCCUUUGCAAACUCCGAAUACCAGUAAGUACUAUCCGGGAGACACACGGCGGGUGCUAACGUCCGUCGUGGAGAGGGAAACAACCCAGACCGCCAGCUAAGGUCCCAAAGUAUUGCUAAGUGGGAAACGAUGUGGGAAGGCUCAGACAGCUAGGAUGUUGGCUUAGAAGCAGCCAUCAUUUAAAGAAAGCGUAAUAGCUCACUAGUCGAGUCGGCCUGCGCGGAAGAUGUAACGGGGCUAAGCAAUACACCGAAGCUGCGGCAAUAUCUUUUAGAUAUUGGGUAGGGGAGCGUUCUGUAAGCCGUUGAAGGUGAAUCGUAAGGUUUGCUGGAGGUAUCAGAAGUGCGAAUGCUGACAUGAGUAACGACAAAGGGGGUGAAAAACCUCCUCGCCGGAAGACCAAGGGUUCCUGUCCAACGUUAAUCGGGGCAGGGUGAGUCGACCCCUAAGGUGAGGCCGAAAGGCGUAAUCGAUGGGAAACGGGUUAAUAUUCCCGUACUUCUGACUAUUGCGAUGGGGGGACGGAGAAGGCUAGGUGGGCCAGGCGACGGUUGUCCUGGUUCAAGUGCGUAGGCUUGAGAGUUAGGUAAAUCCGGCUCUCUCUAAGGCUGAGACACGACGUCGAGCUACUACGGUAGUGAAGUCAUUGAUGCCAUGCUUCCAGGAAAAGCCUCUAAGCUUCAGAUAGUCAGGAAUCGUACCCCAAACCGACACAGGUGGUCGGGUAGAGAAUACCAAGGCGCUUGAGAGAACUCGGGUGAAGGAACUAGGCAAAAUGGUACCGUAACUUCGGGAGAAGGUACGCUCUUGAUGGUGAAGUCCCUCGCGGAUGGAGCUGACGAGAGUCGCAGAUACCAGGUGGCUGCAACUGUUUAUUAAAAACACAGCACUGUGCAAAAUCGCAAGAUGACGUAUACGGUGUGACGCCUGCCCGGUGCCGGAAGGUUAAUUGAUGGGGUUAGCGCAAGCGAAGCUCUUGAUCGAAGCCCCGGUAAACGGCGGCCGUAACUAUAACGGUCCUAAGGUAGCGAAAUUCCUUGUCGGGUAAGUUCCGACCUGCACGAAUGGCGUAAUGAUGGCCACGCUGUCUCCACCCGAGACUCAGUGAAAUUGAAAUCGCUGUGAAGAUGCAGUGUACCCGCGGCUAGACGGAAAGACCCCGUGAACCUUUACUACAGCUUGGCACUGAACAUUGAACCUACAUGUGUAGGAUAGGUGGGAGGCUAUGAAGACGUGACGCCAGUUGCGUUGGAGCCGUCCUUGAAAUACCACCCUUGUAUGUUUGAUGUUCUAACUUAGACCCGUUAUCCGGGUUGAGGACAGUGCCUGGUGGGUAGUUUGACUGGGGCGGUCUCCUCCCAAAGAGUAACGGAGGAGCACGAAGGUGGGCUAAUCACGGUUGGACAUCGUGAGGUUAGUGCAAUGGCAUAAGCCCGCUUAACUGCGAGAAUGACGGUUCGAGCAGGUGCGAAAGCAGGUCAUAGUGAUCCGGUGGUUCUGUAUGGAAGGGCCAUCGCUCAACGGAUAAAAGGUACUCCGGGGAUAACAGGCUGAUACCGCCCAAGAGUUCAUAUCGACGGCGGUGUUUGGCACCUCGAUGUCGGCUCAUCACAUCCUGGGGCUGAAGUCGGUCCCAAGGGUAUGGCUGUUCGCCAUUUAAAGUGGUACGCGAGCUGGGUUUAGAACGUCGUGAGACAGUUCGGUCCCUAUCUGCCGUGGGCGUUGGAAGAUUGAAGGGGGCUGCUCCUAGUACGAGAGGACCGGAGUGGACGAACCUCUGGUGUUCGGGUUGUGUCGCCAGACGCAUUGCCCGGUAGCUAAGUUCGGAAUUGAUAAGCGCUGAAAGCAUCUAAGCGCGAAGCGAGCCCUGAGAUGAGUCUUCCCUGACAGUUUAACUGUCCUAAAGGGUUGUUCGAGACUAGAACGUUGAUAGGCAGGGUGUGUAAGCGUUGUGAGGCGUUGAGCUAACCUGUACUAAUUGCCCGUGAGGCUUAACCAUACAACACCCAAGGGGUUUUGUA